GCUGCUUUUAUCAAGAUAUGGAGUCUAUUUCCUGCUCCUUGAGGCAGAAAUGGAAUGGGACUUUGAAACUGUCUUGGUGAACAGAAUGUAGGGGGAGUGACGUAUGUGGCUCCAAAGCUAGAUUCCAGAAGAUUGCACGGCUUCCACCUGGUGCUCACUUGUCCUCCCUCUCUCUCUCAGGGUGUCCAUCUUUGGAACUUGGCCACUAUGCUCUAAGAAAACUCAAAGCAAUUUAUGUUGAAGACCACAUGGAGAUGUCCAUGUGGAGAUGUUCUGAGGCUCCUAGAUGACAGCCAGCAUCAACUGCCAGUUGCAUCCGUGAACAAGGGAGUCUUCAGAGGAUUUUAGGACCCAGCCUUCAAGUUUUCUAGUUGAGGUCCUAGACAUCAUGGAGCAGACACAAGAUGACUUUCGGUUCCUGAUCCACACAUAGUAAACGAUGGCUUUCCACUACUGAGAUUUAGCAAAGUGGUACUCUGAGGACUGGCAGGUUCACUGCCUAGAGACACAUUUAUUACCAAGACACAAGCUGAAUAAUUGUGUAUUUACCAACUUCAAUUUAACCUCACAACUUGGCUGUCUUCACAACAAGGAAAAUGCAUGUCAGUGUGCAAAGGAAGAAGGAAUUCAUUUCUUUUUAGAGAAGAGAUGGCUAACUACAUGCCUAGGUUGGGUUCUCAGGAAGCAGAUGAUGAGAUGGAGCUUGUGGUGCAAGAUAUUUACUCGGGUAAAAGGAAAAGAGAGGAAGAAAGAAGGAGCAAAGGAAACCAUGCCUUGGCCAACUUGGUGAGGAACUGUGGUUCAAGCAUCCCAUCUGAAUGAGUGUCCUGCAAUGGGCUGAAAUGGGUGAAUCUUUGUACCCCUACCUUGGUCAGUCGGGCUGCCCUGGGAAGGAUGUGACUUCCCUGCAAAGAUGCUUGAAAGCUCCAGGAAGAAACUGAGCAAGAGGCAGCAAGUUCUUUCUUGAAAGGGGCAUCUGAGCAGCGUAUCUCUGUAUCUAUCAUCCAAAUAACUUCAUGGUUUCUGUAAUGGACAGUACAAAAUGGACUAUUAAACAGUUUCUUUUGGUGCCAUUUUUUUAUUAUAAUAUCCAAUAGGAUGAGGAAAAUGUAAGAGUGAACUUGGAUAAAAAACUCAACCCUGGAUUCCUUGCAAUAAGGAAAUUGUACUGUAAAUAUAGCCAUACCUCAUUUUCUUCUAAAAGAAUCGGGCAAUUUUACUCUGAUUUUGUGUCCAAAGACUAAUGACUAUUCCAAUAUCCCUCUUGAUGCUUAUUUCUUUCCAUUGCAAAAAUCAAGCAUACCAAAUUUAUCUUUCCAUAUGUUUUUUUUUUUUACUUACUUAUAUUUUUAAAUCAUCCACAUUUUUUGAAUACUC
rnacentral:lncRNA from 1 species